CUUAGUAACGAAGCUAACACGUGAAGUUGACCGCCUGGGGAGUACGGUCGCAAGAUUAAAACUCAAAGGAAUUGACGGGGACCCGCACAAGCGGUGGAUGAUGUGGAUUAAUUCGAUGCAACGCGAAAAACCUUAGCUACCCUUGACAUGUCCGGAAUCCUGCAGAGAUGCGGGAGUGCCCGAAAGGGAAUCGGAACACAGGUGCUGCAUGGCUGUCGUCAGCUCGUGUCGUGAGAUGUUGGGUUAAGUCCCGCAACGAGCGCAACCCUUAUCAUUAGUUGCUACGCAAGGGCACUCUAAUGAGACUGCCGGUGACAAACCGGAGGAAGGUGGGGAUGACGUCAAGUCCUCAUGGCCCUUAUGGGUAGGGCUUCACACGUCAUACAAUGGUCGGUACAGAGGGUUGCCAAGCCGCGAGGUGGAGCCAAUCCCAGAAAGCCGAUCGUAGUCCGGAUUGUUCUCUGCAACUCGAGAGCAUGAAGUCGGAAUCGCUAGUAAUCGCGGAUCAGCAUGUCGCGGUGAAUACGUUCCCGGGUCUUGUACACACCGCCCGUCACACCAUGGGAGUGGAAUCUGCCAGAAGUAGGUAGCCUAACCGCAAGGGGGGCGCUUACCACGGUGGGUUUCAUGACUGGGGUGAAGUCGUA
rnacentral:rRNA from 1 species